GACGAACGCUGGCGGCGUGCUUAACACAUGCAAGUCGAACGGAAAGGCCUGCUUUCCCUUGUGGAUUGCGGGUACUCGAGUGGCGAACGGGUGAGUAACACGUGAGUGAUCUGCCCCCAACUUGGGUAUAAGCCUGGGAAACUGGGUCUAAUUCCCGAUAGGACUGCAGGGUUGUGCCGUUGGUGGAAAACGAUUUUCUAGUGGUUGGGGAUGAGCUCGCGGCCUAUCAGCUUGUUGGUGGGGUAAUGUCCUACCAAGGCGGCGACGGGUAGCCGGCCGGAGAGGGGGGACGGCGACAUUGGGACUGAGUCCCGGCCCAGACGCCUACGGGAGGCAGCAGUGGGGACUCAUGCAAAAGGGGCGGAAGCCUGAUGCAGCGACGCAGCGUGGGGGAUGACGGGAUUCGGGUUGUAAGCUCCUUUCGACCGAGAGGAAGCCACCUGGUUGGAAGGGUGGUGACGGUAGUGGUAGAAGAAGCACCGGCUAACUACGUG
rnacentral:rRNA from 1 species